rnacentral:rRNA from 1 species
ACUCAAAGGAAUAGACGGGGGCCCGCACAAGCAGCGGAGCGUGUGGUUUAAUUCGACGCAACGCGCAGAACCUUACCAGGACUUGACAUGCGAGUGCAAGACCCAGAGAUGGGCCCCUCCCGCAAGGGACGCUCGCACAGAUGCUGCAUGGCUGUCGUCAGCUCGUGCCGUGAGGUGUUGGGUUAAGUCCCGCAACGAGCGCAACCCUCAUUGCCAGUUGCAUUCUCUGGCGAGACUGCCGAGACAAACUCGGAGGAAGGUGGGGAUGAUGUCAAGUCAGCACGGCUCUUACGUCCUGGGCUACACACACGCUACAAUGGGUAGGAACAGAGGGUUGCUAAGGGGCGACCCGGAGCCAAUCCCAACAAAACUACCCUCAGUUCAGAUUGCAGGCUGCAACUCGCCUGCAUGAAGACGGAGUUGCUAGUAACCGCAGGUCAGCACUACUGCGGUGAAUACGUUCCCGGGCCUUGCACACACCGCCCGU